GACAGAGGUGCCGAGCGUUAGGCGGAAUCACUGGGCUUAAAGCGUGUGUAGGCGGAUCGUUAAGUACCUUGUGAAAUCCCACAGCUUAACCGUGGAACUGCUUGGUAUACUGGCGAUCUUGAGCCACCUAGGGGCAACCGGAACAAAUGGUGGAGCGGUGAAAUGCGUUGAUAUCAGGAGGAACACCCAUGGCGAAGGCAGCUAACUGGGCAUUAUCUGACGCUGAGGCGCGAAAGCGUGGGUAGCAAACAGG
rnacentral:rRNA from 1 species